UACGUAGGGAGCAAGCGUUGUUCGGAUUUACUGGGCGUAAAGGGCGCGUAGGCGGCAAUUCAAGUCAUCUGUGAAAUCUCCGGGCUUAACUCGGAACGGUCAGAUGAUACUGUUUUGCUAGAGUGCAGAAGGGGCAAUCGGAAUUCUUGGUGUAGCGGUGAAAUGCGCAGAUAUCAGGAGGAACACCAAUGGCGAAGGCAGCUCGCUGGGACGGUACUGACGCUGAGGCGCGAAAGCGUGGGGAGCAAACAGG
rnacentral:rRNA from 1 species